GACGUAGGGUGCGAGCGUUGUCCGGAUUUAUUGGGCGUAAGGAGCUCGUAGGCGGCUCGUCGCGUCGACCGUGAAAACCCGCAGCUUAACUGUGGGCUUGCGGUCGAUACGGGCGGGCUAGAGUUCGGUAGGGGAGACUGGAAUUCCUGGUGUAGCGGUGAAAUGCGCAGAUAUCAGGAGGAACACCGGUGGCGAAGGCGGGUCUCUGGGCCGAUACUGACGCUGAGGAGCGAAAGCGUGGGGAGCGAACAGG
rnacentral:rRNA from 1 species